rnacentral:pre_miRNA from 1 species
UCUUCAUUUGACGUGCUCUCUCACCGGUCAGAGAGGCGAGAGAGUGCAAAAAAUUAAGAGA